AACCCGUUUCACAUUAACGGAAAGGAAUGACAUUGCAAUGCAAUCACCUCAUUUGUCUCGAUUAGACGAGUCACUAGACUAGACAUCAAACCCCAAAACCCUACCGCUAUCUGGUCGAUAGUCGCAUAUUCUUCAUCAUCGGAUUCAUCGACAAUGGUGACCUCCGGCUAGAAGACGAAGAAGACCCAUGAGAGCAUAAACAAUAGGCUGGCUUUGGUGAUGAAGAGAGCGGAAAGUACACUCUGGGCUACAAGACCCUAAGGAACUCCAAAGGUGGCCGCCCUUUCUCCCCGUUUUCUUGUUCCUUUUGUUGAUUUUUGUAUUCUGAAAAUGGUAACCUUUUUUCCUUGUUGAUAUUUUGGAAUUAGUAAGAGAAAAUGAAAAUUUUCAUGCAAGCUGAUACUGAUUUCCAAUAACUGCCCGCCAUUGAGGAAGUCUGAGAUCGAGUAUUAUGCCAUGCUUGCCAAGGUUGAGGUUCAUCAUUAUAAUUGAAACAAUGUUGAUCUGGGGACAGCUUAGCUUGCGGCAAAUAUUUCUGGGUCUCUUGUCUUAGCAUUAUUGAUCCAGAUAACUCUUUUAGGAAGUCUCAUUUGUUGUAAUCUAGUACCAUUUCUUAGCUAGCAAAAGCAGAGUAUUAGAUGUGCUUAUUGAUGCUGCCAUUGAUGUUUCAGGUGAUUCUGAUAUCAUCAAGUCUCUUCCUGUAGAGCAGUGAGAGCUACUGGAGUUAUGUUUUAUGGUGUUGAGAAUUUUGUGAUGGAGCCCUUCUUUUUGCCUUUUUAUUUGAGAUCACUUUAUAGAUGAGCAGGGGAGGAUAUAUUAAAUACUUUCAUCUAAUCUUUUUAUUAUUAUUAUUAUUAUUA